AACGUAGGAGGCGAGCGUUAUCCGGAUUUACUGGGCGUAAAGCGCGUGUAGGCGGAUUGGUAAGUUGGCUGUGAAAGCUCCUGGCUUAACUGGGAGAGGUCGGUCAAUACUGUCAGUCUAGAGGAUGUGAGAGGGAGGCGGAAUUCCGGGUGUAGUGGUGAAAUGCGUAGAUAUCCGGAGGAACACCAGAGGCGAAAGCGGCCUCCUGGCACAUCACUGACGCUCAGACG
rnacentral:rRNA from 1 species